rnacentral:lncRNA from 1 species
UCGGCCAAGGUGUCCCUGAGAAUGGAUUUAUGGCACAAGCCUAGUUUUUAUGAAAUUCAUAAGCCUCUUUACGUAUUUUAAAUGAAAUGUAUUCUAAUGUUGUGACCCAGUUUACGAUGAUUUACUUUAUUGUCUCCAUGUACUCAACUCUAGAUGUUUAUGAUGAUGUCUGUUUACUCAUUAGGAUUUUAUAAUCUCACCACCCUC